GAGUUUGAUCGUGGCUCAGAUUGAACGCUGGCGGCAGGCCUAACACAUGCAAGUCGAGCGGAUGACGGGAGCUUGCUCCUUGAUUCAGCGGCGGACGGGUGAGUAAUGCCUAGGAAUCUGCCUGGUAGUGGGGGACAACGUUUCGAAAGGAACGCUAAUACCGCAUACGUCCUACGGGAGAAAGCGGGGGACCUUCGGGCCUUGCGCUAUCAGAUGAGCCUAGGUCGGAUUAGCUAGUAGGUGAGGUAAUGGCUCACCUAGGCGACGAUCCGUAACUGGUCUGAGAGGAUGAUCAGUCACACUGGAACUGAGACACGGUCCAGACUCCUACGGGAGGCAGCAGUGGGGAAUAUUGGACAAUGGGCGAAAGCCUGAUCCAGCCAUGCCGCGUGUGUGAAGAGGUCUUCGGAUUGUAAAGCACUUUAAGUUGGGAGGAAGGGCAGUAAGUUAAUACCUUGCUGUUUUGACGUUACCGACAGAAUAAGCACCGGCUAACUCUGUGCCAGCA
rnacentral:rRNA from 1 species